GACGAACGCUGGCGGCGCGCCUAACACAUGCAAGUCGAACGAGCGAGAGAGAGCUUACUUUCUCGAGCGAGUGGCGAACGGGUGAGUAACGCGCGAGGAACCUGCCUCAAAGAGGGGGACAACAGUUGGAAACGACUGCUAAUACCGCAUAAGCCCACGGCUCGGCAUCGAGCAGAGGGAAAAGGAGCAAUCCGCUUUGAGAUGGCCUCGCGUCCGAUUAGCUAGUUGGUGAGGUAACGGCCCACCAAGGCGACGAUCGGUAGCCGGACUGAGAGGUUGAACGGCCACAUUGGGACUGAGACACGGCCCAGACUCCUACGGGAGGCAGCAGUGGGGAAUAUUGCACAAUGGGGGAAACCCUGAUGCAGUGACGCCGCGUGGAGGAAGAAGGUCUUCGGAUUGUAAACUCCUGUUGUUGAGGAAGAUAAUGACGGUACUCAACAAGGAAGUGACGGCUAACUACGUGCCGGCAGCCGCGGUAAAACGUAGGUCACAAGCGUUGUCCGGAAUUACUGGGUGUAAAGGGAGCGCAGGCGGGAAGACAAGUUGGAAGUGAAAUCCAUGGGCUCAACCCAUGAACUGCUUUCAAAACUGUUUUUCUUGAGUAGUGCAGAGGUAGGCGGAAUUCCCGGUGUAGCGGUGGAAUGCGUAGAUAUCGGGAGGAACACCAGUGGCGAAGGCGGCCUACUGGGCACCAACUGACGCUGAGGCUCGAAAGUGUGGGUAGCAAACAGGAUUAGAUACCCUGGUAGUCCACACUGUAAACGAUGAUUACUAGGUGUUGGAGGAUUGACCCCUUCAGUGCCGCAGUUAACACAAUAAGUAAUCCACCUGGGGAGUACGACCGCAAGGUUGAAACUCAAAGGAAUUGACGGGGGCCCGCACAAGCAGUGGAGUAUGUGGUUUAAUUCGACGCAACGCGAAGAACCUUACCAAGUCUUGACAUCCUGCGACGCACAUAGAAAUAUGUGUUUCCUUCGGGACGCAGAGACAGGUGGUGCAUGGUUGUCGUCAGCUCGUGUCGUGAGAUGUUGGGUUAAGUCCCGCAACGAGCGCAACCCUUAUGGUCAGUUACUACGCAAGAGGACUCUGGCCAGACUGCCGUUGACAAAACGGAGGAAGGUGGGGAUGACGUCAAAUCAUCAUGCCCUUUAUGACUUGGGCUACACACGUACUACAAUGGCGUUAAACAAAGAGAAGCAAGACCGCGAGGUGGAGCAAAACUCAGAAACAACGUCCCAGUUCGGACUGCAGGCUGCAACUCGCCUGCACGAAGUCGGAAUUGCUAGUAAUCGCAGAUCAGCAUGCUGCGGUGAAUACGUUCCCGGGCCU
rnacentral:rRNA from 1 species